rnacentral:rRNA from 1 species
GACGAACGCUGGCGGCGUGCUUAACACAUGCAAGUCGAACGGAAAGGCCCUGCUUUUGUGGGGUGCUCGAGUGGCGAACGGGUGAGUAACACGUGAGUAACCUGCCCUUGACUUUGGGAUAACUUCAGGAAACUGGGGCUAAUACCGGAUAGGAGCUCCUGCUGCAUGGUGGGGGUUGGAAAGUUUCGGCGGUUGGGGAUGGACUCGCGGCUUAUCAGCUUGUUGGUGGGGUAGUGGCUUACCAAGGCUUUGACGGGUAGCCGGCCUGAGAGGGUGACCGGCCACAUUGGGACUGCGAUACGGCCCAGCCUCCUACGGGAGGCAGCAGUGGGGAAUAUUGCACAAUGGGCGGAAGCCUGAUGCAGCAACGCCGCGUGCGGGAUGACGGCCUUCGGGUUGUAAACCGCUUUCGCCUGUGACGAAGCGUGAGUGACGGUAAUGGGUAAAGAAGCACCGGCUAACUACGUG